rnacentral:rRNA from 1 species
AGUGAACGCUGGCGGUAGGCCUAACACAUGCAAGUCGAACGGCAGCACAGUAAGAGCUUGCUCUUACGGGUGGCGAGUGGCGGACGGGUGAGGAAUACAUCGGAAUCUACUUUUUCGUGGGGGAUAACGUAGGGAAACUUACGCUAAUACCGCAUACGACCUACGGGUGAAAGCAGGGGAUCUUCGGACCUUGCGCGAGUGAAUGAGCCGAUGUCGGAUUAGCUAGUUGGCGGGUUAAAGGCCCACCAAGGCGACGAUCCGUAGCUGGUCUGAGAGGAUGAUCAGCCACACUGGAACAGAGACACGGCCCAGACUCCUACGGGAGGCAGCAGUGGGGAAUAUUGCACAAUGGGCGCAAGCCUGAUCCAGCCAUACCGCGUGGGUGAAGAAGGCCUUCGGGUUGUAAAGCCCUUUUGUUGGGAAAGAAAAGCAGCAGGUUAAUACCCCGCUGUUCUGACGGUACCCAAAGAAUAAGCACCGGCUAACUUCGUG